rnacentral:lncRNA from 1 species
GGAGGACAGGCUGGCAGAGGAGGGAGGAGGGUUUCUAGCUGAGAGAGACUGCGGCUGUGGGCCUGCAGCCUACCCCUCUUCAAGCUCUCCGGAGCCGUUCCUGCGAAACCAGCCCCCACAAAUAAGGAAGCUGGGAUUCAGAGAAAUUAAGGGACUUGGUGAAGCAGAGAAUGCCAAGGGAAUUGAUUCAGUAGUGGACGGGGAGUCCCUGAAGACUGUUGAGCAGUGAAGAGACCUGAUCGCAUACUAAAAAAGUACAUGCAAUGGCAAGAAGAUCAACUAAGAGAUUCUUCUUAUGUUGCUAUUUUAAACUCCUGAACUCAAGUGAUCCUCCUGCCUUGGCCUCCCAAAGUGCUGGGAUUACAGGUGUGAGACACUGCACCCUGCCCAAGCACCUCUGCUCCGUGCCAUGCUCUUGGCUAAUUGGAGUUGUGAAAGGCAUGAGGAUUCUGGUCAUGGACUCAGCUCUCCCAUAGGGUUCUGACACCAAAGCAAUGGUCACAACAGUGAAAGGAAGAAUCCAUCUGGCCAGGCUCAGGUGGUUCAAGGCCUUCAGAAUCUGCCUUGAGACUCUCACUGGCUUUAGACUGAAAACCAUCUUGGCCCCGUCCAUCCGUGUAAGCAAUUUAACGACAGCUUGCAAAGCACCGAGCUUUAACAGAAAGAAGAGAUGAGCACAGCGCAAGAACUUGGACUCCAGAAGAGCUGCCUAACAGAUUAUUUUUCUGUGGCAUUUCAUGAGAACAAACGAAGUAGGAAUUUUCCUUUUGUUUGUCUGGCCUUUGGCAUCGUUUACUUUCUUUUUAUUCUUCUGAAAUGUACUUCGAGCCCUGGCAGCAUUUCUGUCCUAAAAUCUUAUUGUCAGAGGUUUAUUUUUCAGCUUUUCAAAUCAUAUCUGAUAGAGUGAGUGUACUGCCUGGACUCAUCACUUUACUUCAGAAGAAAUACAGCUCACCCUUUAAAUGACAAUGGUGACUGUCCACAUCUUUAUGUUUUCUACACUGAAGUGGCAGGCUUCAUUUAAAAAUAAUGUUUUCCCUCAUCAAAAGAGAGCUAGGGUAGAACCGUCAACUCUGCUGUUGUCUGGGUAGUGACCUAACACCCACGUUUUGGACAAUCACUCACUGUCUUAUAUUGGGUUUUCAUUGCAUGUAGGAUAAUUCUUUGUCAAUGGUAGUUUUGUCAACCGUGAUCUGAGGUAAUGAGGUUUUCUACUUUUGCUUGAAAUUUUGAAAAUAUGCAAGCUUUAAACAUUUGCAAAGUUGGAUUCUGUUUUCUUUAGAAAGCAAUCUGAUUUGCUGAUAUUCUCUCCAUCUGUCAGGGGAUGCGUGAUGUGGUGUAGACUUAAUGUGCUGCCUUUCUGGAACAUGGACAGAGUAGCAGCACAGAAAAAUGAGCAUUUCAGCUCUGUGAUGAUUUGUGAAAAAAAAUCUCAGAUCAUUGAGCAGGCAUUUUGCUGACACCUGUGAAAAGUAACCACAUGAGAGAGCAUGGCGUGAUGGUCGGAGGCCACGUGCUGGAGCUGGACUGCUUGAGUCAAAUCCCAGCUGCUCAGCUGUAGUGAACUGAAUGGUGGUCCCCAAAAGAUACAUGUAUCUCCUAAUCCCUGGAACCUGUGAAUGUGACCUUAUUAGGCAAAAGGGUCUUUGCAGAUGUAAUUACAUUGAGGCUCUCAGAGAUGAGAACAUCCUGGAUUAUCAGGGUGGGUCCUAUAUCCAAUGACAAGUGUCUCCUUAUAGGAGACAGAAGAAGUUGCAGACCCGGAAGAGACUAAGUAAAGAUGGAGGCAGAGACUGGAGUGAGGCUGCUGCAGGCCAAAAAUGCCUGGUGCCAGCAAAAGCUGGAAGAGGCAAGGAAGGACCUUUCCCUGGGGCUUUUGGAGGGAGUGCAGCCCUGCUGAUGCCUUAGUGUUGGAUAUCUGGGCUAUGGAACUAUGAGAGAGAAACUUCUGUUGUUUUAAGCCACCUAGUUUGUGGUACUCUGUUAUGGCAGCCACAGGAAACUAAUACACUCUUUACCACCUG